AUGUGGUUUAAUUCGAUGACAACGCGAAAACCUUACCACCUUUGACAUGUACGGAAUCCUUAGAGAUAGAGGAGUGCUCGAAAGAGAACCGUAACACAGGUGCUGCAUGGCUGUCGUCAGCUCGUGUCGUGAGAUGUUGGGUUAAGUCCCGCAACGAGCGCAACCCUUGUCAUUAGUUGCUACAUUCAGUUGGGGCACUCUAAUGAGACUGCCGGUGACAAACCGGAGGAAGGUGGGGAUGACGUCAAGUCCUCAUGGCCCUUAUAGGUGGGGCUACACACGUCAUACAAUGGAUGGUACAAAGGGUCGCCAACCCGCGAGGGGGGAGCCAAUCCCAUAAAGCCAUUCGUAGUCCGGAUCGCAGUCUGCAACUCGACUGCGUGAAGUCGGAAUCGCUAGUAAUCGUGGAUCAGAAUGUCACGGUGAAUACGUUCCCGGGUCUU
rnacentral:rRNA from 1 species